GACGAACGCUGGCGGCGUGCUUAACACAUGCAAGUCGAACGGAAAGGCCUCUUUCGGGGGGUACUCGAGUGGCGAACGGGUGAGUAACACGUGAGUAACCUGUCCUUGACUUUGGGAUAACUUCAGGAAACUGGGGCUAAUACCGGAUAGGAGCUCCUGCUGCAUGGUGGGGGUUGGAAAGUUUCGGCGGUUGGGGAUGGACUCGCGGCUUAUCAGCUUGUUGGUGGGGUAGUGGCUUACCAAGGCUUUGACGGGUAGCCGGCCUGAGAGGGUGACCGGCCACAUUGGGACUGAGAUACGGCCCAGACUCCUACGGGAGGCAGCAGUGGGGAAUAUUGCACAAUGGGUGGAAGCCUGAUGCAGCAACGCCGUGUGCGGGAUGACGGCCUUCGGGUUGUAAACCGCUUUCGCUCAUGACGAAGCUUUGUGUGACGGUAGUGGGUAAAGAAGCACCGGCUAACUACGUG
rnacentral:rRNA from 1 species